rnacentral:rRNA from 1 species
GUGGGGAAUAUUGGACAAUGGGCGAAAGCCUGAUCCAGCCAUGCCGCGUGUGUGAAGAAGGUCUUCGGAUUGUAAAGCACUUUAAGUUGGGAGGAAGGGCAGUAAGUUAAUACCUUGCUGUUUUGACGUUACCGACAGAAUAAGCACCGGCUAACUUCGUGCCAGCAGCCGCGGUAAUACGAAGGGUGCAAGCGUUAAUCGGAAUUACUGGGCGUAAAGCGCGCGUAGGUGGUUUUGUAAGUUGGAGGUGAAAUCCCCGGGCUCAACCUGGAAACUGCCUCCAAAACUGCAUGACUAGAGUACGGUAGAGGGUAGUGGAAUUUCCUGUGUAGCGGUGAAAUGCGUAGAUAUAGGAAGGAACACCAGUGGCGAAGGCGACUACCUGGACUGAUACUGACACUGAGGUGCGAAAGCGUGGGGAGCAAACAGGAUUAGAAACCCCGGUAGUCC